ensembl:misc_RNA 7SK 7SK RNA
AGAUGUGAGGGCGAUCUGGCUAUGACAUCUGUCACCCCAUUGAUCGUCAGAGUUGAUUUGGCUGAUCUGGCUGGCUAGGCGGGUGUCCCCUUCCUCCCUCACCACUCCAUGGGCGUCCCUCUCGAAGCUGCGGGCUCUGUCAAAGAAGAGGACGGCCUUCCCGGAAUAGAGACGGACCGGUCUUCUGUCGGUCAAGUGUGUAUGAGUAGCUGCGCUCCCCUGCUAGAACCUCCAAACAAUCUCUCAAGAAUUCGAGAAACUACUGUUAGUCUUUUAUCCCAGUUGAGGAUAUAAUGGUUCUG